CGUAUCGCGCAGUUUUCCUCUGUUUUUGUUUCGAGCCUGUUGUGUGCCGCAGAUUUAGGUCAAGAUGUCUUCUCAAGAUUCAGAAGAAGAGAUCUAUCUGGCCAAUGACCAUGCUAACUCCAGGAUUAAUGGGGACUUAGAGCCUUAUGGUUGGACCACAGAUGAGUAAGAGGAUCAUGAACCAAAGGGGAAGGAGCAAACAAGCUCUGACAAGGAGGAUGCUCCUCUACCUCAGCCUGCAAACACCCAUGUGGAGUUCAAGAAGUCAAGCCUCCCCAACUCCAGGAAGAAGCAUAAGACUUUGUUUAUCCCUUCUCGUUUCCUGCACGGGAGUAAGCAGGAAUUAUGCCAAAGGGUGUUGAAGCUUGAAGAAGAAAACGACGAUCUAAGGGAUCAGAAUUUCAUGCUCCAUUGUAAAUUAAACAAGCUCAAGACCUCUUCAAAGACUCCACC
rnacentral:lncRNA from 1 species